rnacentral:misc_RNA from 1 species
ACUGAUGAAGGCGAUUACCAGGUCAAACUACGCAACCUGCGUCGCUUUAUUGAAGAGGGUGACAAAGCCAAAGUAACGCUGCGGUAUCGCGGUCGUGAAAUGGCGCAUCAGGAAAUCGGCAUUGAGAUGCUAAACCGGAUUAAAGCCGAUUUAGAAGACAUUGCUGUGUGCGAAUCUUUCCCCAGCCGGGUGGAAGGUCGCCAGAUGACCAUGAUGCUGGCCCCAAUUAAGAAGUAAUAAGGCUUUCAAGCGCAUGCCGCUGGCCCUGGUCAGUGGCUGACGCCUUAUUAUUCGUUGUUAACUACAAUGCGAGUUUUAAUACUAUGCCAAAGAUGAAAA